rnacentral:rRNA from 1 species
UGGACAAUGGGCGCAAGCCUGAUCCAGCCAUGCCGCGUGAGUGAUGAAGGCCCUAGGGUUGUAAAGCUCUUUCACCGGUGAAGAUAAUGACGGUAACCGGAGAAGAAGCCCCGGCUAACUUCGUGCCAGCAGCCGCGGUAAUACGUAGGGUGCAAGCGUUAAUCGGAAUUACUGGGCGUAAAGCGUGCGCAGGCGGUUUUGUAAGACAGAGGUGAAAUCCCCGGGCUCAACCUGGGAACUGCCUUUGUGACUGCAAGGCUAGAGUACGGCAGAGGGGGAUGGAAUUCCGCGUGUAGCAGUGAAAUGCGUAGAUAUGCGGAGGAACACCGAUGGCGAAGGCAAUCCCCUGGGCCUGUACUGACGCUCAUGCACGAAAGCGUGGGGAGCAAACAGGAUUAGAUACCCUGGUAGUCCACGCCCUAAACGAUGUCAACUGGUUGUUGGGUCUUAACUGACUCAGUAACGAAGCUAACGCGUGAAGUUGACCGCCUGG